rnacentral:tRNA from 4 species
GCGCUCGUAACUCAGCUGGAUAGAGUGACAGACUUCGAAUCUGUAGGUCGUGGGUUCAAAUCCUUCCGGGCGCG